AUCAGCCGGUACUCGCGAAUGCUCUAGAUUANAGUUUGAUCAUGGCUCAGAUCUGAACGCUGGCGGCAGGCCUAACACAUGCAAGUCGAACGGUAGCACAGAGAGCUUGCUCUUGGGUGACGAGUGGCGGACGGGUGAGUAAUGUCUGGGAAACUGCCCGAUGGAGGGGGAUAACUACUGGAAACGGUAGCUAAUACCGCAUAACGUCUUCGGACCAAAGUGGGGGACCUUCGGGCCUCACACCAUCGGAUGUGCCCAGAUGGGAUUAGCUAGUAGGUGGGGUAUGGCUCACCUAGGCGACGAUCCCUAGCUGGUCUGAGAGGACGACCAGCCACACUGGAACUGAGACACGGUCCAGACUCCUACGGGAGGCAGCAGUGGGGAAUAUUGCACAAUGGGCGCAAGCCUGAUGCAGCCAUGCCGCGUGUAUGAAGAAGGCCUUCGGGUUGUAAAGUACUUUCAGCGGGGAGGAAGGCG
rnacentral:rRNA from 1 species